rnacentral:lncRNA from 1 species
UACUGCGCGUGCGCGGCAUCCCAGCCCCGCCCCGGAGGCGUUCCUAGACGGACGGUAGUACCGUGGGGCGGCUGAUAACGCUUUAGCGAGCCGCGAAGAUAGGAGGCGGGGAAGAAGGGGGACGUGUACCUCUCCCUCAUUCACGGUACAUUUACCUGAACUCAUCACCUUCCCACCCCCAUCCCAUCGACUCUGUGCUGUAUCCUGAACCGGCUGACAGAACAAUGAUGUAGACUUGACUUGUUUUCGCCAACCUGGAAUGAAGCAAAGCUCUUGUGCACCCAAGAUCUGCUCUCUGUUGUAAAUCCUGUUCAGACCUGGUCUAAUUGGUUUGAAUAAAUAAAGAACCGGAAUCUUUCUCAUCCAAA